rnacentral:rRNA from 1 species
UACGUAGGCAGCAAGCGUUGUUCGGAGUUACUGGGCGUAAAGGGUGUGUAGGCGGUUUUUUAAGUUUGGUGUGAAAUCUCCCGGCUCAACUGGGAGGGUGCGCCGAAUACUGAAAGACUAGAGUGCGGGAGAGGAAAGUGGAAUUCCUGGUGUAGCGGUGAAAUGCGUAGAUAUCAGGAGGAACACCGGUGGUGUAGACGGCUUUCUGGACCGUAACUGACGACUGAGACACGAAAGCGUGGGUAGCAAACAGG